rnacentral:rRNA from 1 species
GACGAAGGAUGCAAGCGUUAUCCGGAUUCAUUGGGUUAAAGGGUGCGUAGGCGGACUGAUAAGUCAGUGGUGAAAUCUCUUUGCUUAACAAAGAAACUGCCAUUGAUACUGUCGGUCUUAGAGUAUAGAUGACGUUUGGCGGAAUAUGACAUGUAGUGGUGAAAUACUUAGAUAUGUCAUAGAACACCGAUUGCGAAGGCAGCUAACGAAACUAUAACUGACGCUGAGGCACGAAAAGCGUGGGGGAUCAAACAGG